rnacentral:rRNA from 1 species
UAAUGACUCUCGGCAACGGAUAUCUCGGCUCUCGCAUCGAUGAAGAACGUAGCGAAAUGCGAUACUUGGUGUGAAUUGCAGAAUCCCGCGAAUCAUCGAGUCUUUGAACGCAAGUUGCGCCCGAAGCCAUUUGGUCGAGGGCACGUCUGCCUGGGUGUCACGC